AAUAUUUUCAAUACAAACCGUCUGCCGAUUUACGAUUUGUCUUCAUCGUUGAGUUUGUCACGAUGAGAGCUUUGACUUGAUUAUGUUUUGACAAAACUUUUUUAUCAAACGAUUUUACUAAAACCGGGUAAAAAAUGGAAACAGAUCAGCUCAUCUCCUCGUUCCAACCUCUCCAUCUCUCUUACUGGCACCAACCGACCACGUAAGGUUGAAGUCUCUGCAUCUGCAGUGGCGCCAUCUAUGGACGCAGGCAAACAAUUUUUUUUUUAGGGCAAGGACUGUAGGCAUCAUGUAUAUUAAAAAAGAGAGUAACUGUACAGUUGAAAAAACAAAAAAACAAACAAGAGAGAGCUAUCUGAAGCUAGCCAGCCAAGAGGCUGUUGGAGUAUUUCUUUCUUUUAGUUCUAUGAAAGACCAAAUUCAUCUCUUCUUUGAAAAGUUGCCUGCAUCUGUAGAGGCUGGGGGUUCGCUGGUUGAAGAUGAAAUCAUUUCGAACUUUCCAAAUGCUCCAAGCAUCCAAGAUGAUAAUCUCCAUGAAGAAAGGAACCUUGAGCUUGUUUAAGUGAUUACACAUUUAAAUGAACAUUUGCGACUGGAGUGAGUGAAGCUGUCACAUAGGUAGGCCCAGCAAGAUUUUGCAAAUGCGCAGUGAAAGAACAGGUGAUCUCUUGUUUUUAAAUGUGGCACACCACAUAAGACACAUUCAUAUGAUGGGAGUUGAAAUGACCUCUUCUGAAGCAUAGUUCUAGUAUUGAGGCGAUUAAUGAGGAGCAUCCAGAAGAAAAAUUUGUGCUUCAACUAGCAGGAUUCCUAGAGCCAUCCAAAAUCAGGUGGUAAAUUCAAGCGAUUAAUUUGAGCCUUAUAUGCCUCUGCAGGGAUGAAGGAGUCCUUAUUCCAAAUGUAAGUCAUAUGUCUUGACCUUCAGCUUGGGCAACAUUUUCCAGCAUAUCAAGGAGCCGGGUGAAUUAGACGCAGAAAAACAAG
rnacentral:lncRNA from 1 species